rnacentral:lncRNA from 1 species
UUUUUUUUUUUUUUGGCCUUUUGUCUUUUUAGGGCCGCACCUGCGGCAUAUGGAGGUUCCCAGGCUAGGUGUCUAAUAGGAGCUGUUGCUGCCAACCUACACCAGAGCCAUAGCAAUGCCAGAUUUGAGCUGCAUCUGCAACCUACACCACAGCUCAUGGCAAUGCCGGAUCCUUAACCCACUGAGCAAGGUCAGGGAUUGAACCCAAAUCCUCAUGGUUCCUAGUUGGAUUCAUUUCCACUGUGCCACGAUGGGGACUCCUGGAAUUAUUAAACUAAGCUUAAUUUCUGACUCUGAAGAUAUAAACACAAUAUUAAUUCUGUAAUUUGAAAAUUCUGGGAAAAUAUUCCUUUAGAAGAAUGACAAGAGGGGGCAGAGUUGGGGGCCUGGAGGUGUGAGGAAGAAUCAUACUGAACAUAGUUUAGGGAAUGUUUAAGUCAAUACAAAUGUUCUCCUGUUGGAGUUCCCAUCGUGGCUCAGCAGAAACUAAUCUGACUAGCAUCCAUGGGGAUGCAGGUUCGAUCCCUGGCCCUGCUCAGUGGGUUAAGGAUCCAACAUUGCCAUGAGCUGUGGUUUCCAUGGCAGAAGCGGCUUGGAUCUGGCGUUGCUGUGGCUGUGGCAUAGGCCGGCAUCUGCAGCUCUGCAUUCAACCCCUGGCGUGGGAAUCUCCAUAUGCUGCAGGUAUGGCCCUAAAAACACCAAAAAAAACAACAACAACAAAAAAAAAAGACAAAAUGUUUUCCUGUUAACUGUAGAGGUAUAGAGAGUGAAAACACAUUUGAUUUAGGUCAAUAGAAUCAUAUGCCUUCAAACAAACCGACAUUGACACCAUGCCUACAAUUACAGAGAAAUGUAAUUCCCAUAUACAUGCUCAGUGUCAUAGCCUGAAAUACGACCUGUCCAUCCCCACCUCUCUGAGAUCAUAUUCCACCACUCUCCUCCUCACCUACCUUGCUUGAGCCACAUGGGCAAUCUCCCUACUCCUGGAACAUACCAAGCUGGUCCUACCUUUGGGCCAUUCCCAUUAGCUUGAACAUCUGCCUAAAAUGCUGUUCUCCCAGAGGUGUGUCCCCUCCCUCCUCUACUUCAUACUUCUGCCCGACUGUCACUCAUUAGGAAGGUCUUCUCAGACCUCCAAAUACAAAAUAUCAAUCCAAGCCCUCCCCCGGUCCCUCUUUCCCGGACAUCCCAUGUGUUUCCACACUUGUCUUGUUUUAUCUUUUUCAUUGAUCUUAUCAUCACAUGACUUUUUUAAACUCUUAACCAUUUUUUAGUGUUCAAUUCAAUUCAUCUUCCCAACCUGAAACUUUAUAUCCAAUAAAAAAUAUUCUCCCCUUCCCACAGCCCCUGGCAGCCACAAUUCCACCUUCGGUCUCUAUGAAUUUGACUACUGUAGGUACUCAUAUUAGUGGAAUCAGACAGUAUUUGUCCUGUUGUGGCUGGCUUAUUUCACAUAACGAUAUCUUUAAAGUUCAUCCAUAUUGUAGCCCCUGUUAGAGUUUCCUUCUUUUUUAAGGCUACAUCUGUAGAUUUCACAUGCAUGAUUCAACCAAACACAGAUCGAAAAUAUUCGGAAAAAAAAAAAAUCCAGAAUCUCCAAAAGGCAAAAUUUGAAUUUGCCACAUGGCAGGCAACUAUUUACAUAGCAUUUGCCCUGUAUGAGGUAUUACCAAUAUUUUAAAGAUGAUUUAAAGUAAGGACCAAAAAUAAAUAAAUAAAAACAAAGUAUACAGAAGGAUGUGCAUAGAUGAUAUGUGAAUACUACACCAUUUUAUAGGAGACAUGAGCAUCCUCAGAUUUUGGUAACCGAGGAGGUCCUGGAACUGAUUUGCGCAUAUCAAGAGAUGACUGUAUGUAUCAUAUUUUGUUUAUCUAUUAUUCCAUUGAUGGACACUUGGGCUGCUUUCACAUUUUGGCUAUAAUGCUUCUAUGAACAGAGGUGUACAAGUAUCUAUUCUCUGUUCAAGUUCCUGCUUGUAAUUCUUUUGAUUAUACCUAGAAAUGGGAUUGUUGGAUCAUAUGAAAAUUCUCUCUUUUUUUUUGACUGAGAGGCACGCAGAAGUUCCUGGGUGAGGGCACAAAACUAAGCCUAUACUGGGUCCUUGACCUGCUAAGCCACCAGGGAAUGCCUGAUUUUAAUUUUUCGAAGAAUUACCAUACUAUUUUCCAUAGUGGAUGCACCAUUUCUCUAUAUCCUCAAAAACAGUUAUUAUUUUCUGCCUUUUUUUUUUCCUUUCCACGGCUGCACCUGGGGCAUAUGGAAGUUCCAGGGCUAGGGGUCAAGUAAGAAUUGCAGCCAACACCACAGCCACAGCGACUCUAGAUCUGAGCCCCAUUUGCGACCUACACUAUAGCUUGCGGCAACGCUUGAUCGAGGCCAGAUAUCAAACCCACAUCCUCAUGGAUACUAGUCAGAUUCUUAACCCACAGUCACAAAAGGAACUCCCUCUGCUUUUUGACAGAAGUCAUCCUAAUGGGGGUGAGACGGCAUAUAUUUAUUUUUAUGUCUUCGUUUUCUAUCUUUCCUACCUGCUAGAAUAUAAGAUCCACGAGGGCAGGGACUCCAUUUUUGUCACUGCUGUUGUCCCAAAACACUGCCUGAUACAUAUCAGGCAUCCAAAAAAUAUUUGUCGAAUGAACUAAUGAUAGCCCACCUUAAAGAUUUCACUGCAUAACUUUCAAACUGAAAAGAUAAGAGAAUAGUUAUGUAAGAAUUAUUAUAUAGACUGUCUCUAACAGAUUCCCACAGAAGGUUGAUUGUAAAAUUGAGGCUCAUCUCUACUGUUGAUUUUUUUUUUUUUUUUUAAUUUUAUGGCCACACCUGUGGCAUACGGCAUAUGGCCAGGGAUUGAAUCUGAGCCAUAGCAGUGACCUACAGUGCAGCUGUAGCAAUGUGAGAUCCUUUAACCCACUGCACUGGGCCAGAGAUGGAGCCACUGCUUCCACAGCAGUCAGAUUCUUAACCCACUGCACCACAGCAGGAACUCCUUUAUUGAUAUUUUAAAAUUUAGAAGCAGGUAUAACUUCAGAAAUGCAAUGCAUGUAUAACAUCAAUUGAAUAAAUUCUUUCAAAACACAUUCUCAGCAAUUGUCAAGAACCACAUUUGUUUGUUCCUGUGAUUAUCUUCUGAACUUGUGUCUUUGCUGGUAAGUUUUACAGGAAUGCUCCUAGAUGACAAUGUUUUUGAUCACCAUGGAAACAUCAACCAUGAAGUUUAUAUCAAGCCCUCAUAGAAAGAGCUAAACAGAAAAAGAAUGUAAAAACAAUUUUUCCCUCCAUAGAGGUAGAUAAAUUGAACGUAAGGUUCAGUCUUUAAACCUAAUCGUGGCAAAUACCCAGUAAAUUAAUUGCAGAUUCAGGAGAUCUAAAAUUCAAUUAACAUUUGGAAUGGAUAAGCAAUGAGAUCCUGCUGUAUAGCACUGGGAACUAUAUCUAGUCACUUGUGAUGGAGCAUGAUGGAGGGUAAUGUGAGAAAAAGAAUAUAUAUAUAUAGAUAUGUGACUAGGUCACUUUGCUGUACAGUAGAAAAUUGACAGAACACUGUAAGCCAACUAUAAUGGAAAAAAUAAAAAAUAAAAUUCAAUUGAGCAGUUCCCAUUGUGGCUCAGCAGGUUAAGAAUCUGACCAGUAUCCAUAAAGAUGGGGGUUCAGUCCUUGGCCUUGCUCAGUUGGUUAAGGAUCCAGCGUUGCCAAGAGCUGUGGCAUAGGUCAGAGAUGUGGCUCAGAUCUGGUGUUGCUAUGACUGUGGUGUAGGCUAGCAGCUGCAGCUCCAAUUCGACCCCUGGCCCAGGAACUUCCAUAUGCCACUGUUGUGGCCCUAAAAAAACUAAAUUAAAUUAAGUUCUAGCUAUAUAGAGAGAGCAAAUAUUAUUGGUUGGCUACCAAACAUCUUUAUUUUUUUCCCAACCAUUUCGGUUGGAUGACUGUGUACCCACCCCCAACACACAGCAUCCUUUUCAUUUUUAGAGAUUGUUCCAGGGGUAGGCAGACACAUGAUCCAGCUCUAACAAUGAAAUGUAAGGAGGCUUUGCAGGAUGGCUUCUAGGACAAAUUCCCCUCCCUUAAAAAAGAAGUAUGACCAGACGAAGGCCUGGUCACCACCUGUCACCCUCUCCGUACCCAGCUUUUGGCUUUGGAUACAACAUAAGGACAUGAUGCUUGGAAUUCUGACAGCCAUCUUGUGACCAAGAGAAAUGACAUAACACCCGAGGACUGCAGAGGAGAAUGAUCAGAGAAGCUUCAGUCCCUGGUAACAUUAUUGAACCAAUUAACCAACUAUCCUGGGACUAAUAAUUUCCAUCCAUUUCCAUCGGUAAAUGGUAGAUAUCUGUAUGGCUUAAGGCACAAUUAAUUGAAACAUCUUGACGUGUGUGUCUAUUUUAGGUAGAUUCUUCCAUGAAAGAGCUGUGAUUCUACACUACAGCUUCAUCAUUUGCAAAGAGAGAGAGACAGAGAAAGGGAGACUGUUAGGUGGUUCAAACUUAUAAGCCUUGGGGACCAGAAGUAAGGAUGAGUUAAAAGAGAGUUGAAGGCGGAGUUCCCGUGGUGGCUCAGUGGUUAACGAAUCCGACUAGGAACCAUGAGGUUGCGGGUUCGGUCCCUGGCCUUCCUCAGUGGGUUAAGGAUCCGGCGUUGCCGUGACCUGCAGUGUAGGUCGCAGAUGCGGCUCAGAUCCUGCAUUGCUGUGGCUGUGGUGUAGGCUACAGCUCCGAUUAGACCCCUAGCCUGGGAACCUCCAUGUGCCGCGGCAGCGUCCUUAGAAAAGACAAAAAAAAAAAAAAGAGAGAGAAUCGAAGGCCAAACACAAGAAAAACUGCAACUACUUUAUAUUUGCUGGAACUGUCCCUGCCAGCCUUGAAGCAGUUUAGAGCAU